CCCACCCCGGAAGUCCUUCACGAAAUUCCUCCUCCUGACUCCCGGUACUUUUCAGCUGCCGCCUUCCUCUCAUCCCAUCCCACACGUCCUCCAUCCGUUCAGAAUCCGAUGUCGGUCCCCGGCCCGUCUUUACGCCACCGCGGGAAGAGGAAAACUCCUCGAACCCGCUGUACCAGCGCCAAGCUGCCUGCCCCGGGGCUGCUUCCCCGACGCCCAGGGCGCGGGUUGAGUCGGAACCCGGACGCCAGCUAGAAUUCCCGAAUCCGAGGGGACCUCCGCCCCUGCCUCGCUGGGCUCUGACCACGCCCCUUCCUAAGCCCCGCCCAGGGCUUGCGGGGAGGUUUCCGUGGCGACAGUAAACAAUACUCAAGAGCUGCCGGAGCCGCCGCAGCCCUGCUCCCCCAGCCCACGCUCCUGCAAAUAAGGUGAUCGAGAAUGACAGCGAAGUUGUUAUGAACUGAAACCGGGACACAUGGGGGCCCAGGUGGGGGCCAGGCCUGGGAGGGCCAGCCUGGGGAUCCAGGACACGUGGGCUGUGGUGCGAGGGUCUGCAACCCCCGGAAGAGGCAGCAGCAACUGGAGAACCAGGGAUUGAGAUCUAAGGGAGCAGACGUGCAGGUGGAGCCGGAUGUUGCGUGGGCCCACGCAGCAGAGGUGGGAUAAGACACCGGGAGCAAGAGGGACUCGUUCAAGCCAGACCUUGUAGUGUUUUCCUAGGAAGGAGCAGGCAACCUGCCCGGGCGGGGGCUCUCCCAGGCUAGGAGUAUGAGCGGCGGACAAAAAAAAAUCAAUAGGCAUGGAAAGAAGCGGGAAGAUAUUACCCAUAAUCAAGGGGAAAAUCUAUCAGGAGAAGCAGAUCGCUAAGUAGCAGAGAUGAGGCAAUUAAUGGACAAAGACACAGAAACAGUUAUAAAUAUCCUCUGUGUACUCAAGAAUGCAGAGGAUCGGGAGUGAAAAAGAAGAUACUUUAAAAAGAAAGACUAGAUGGGAUUUACAGCAGAGUGGAUAUUAGAGAGUAAAGAUCAGAGAAGGCAAAUACAGAGACGGGAGAAAAGAACUUCAAGGACUUGUCGGACAAUAGCAGAUGGUCCAGCGUUCAUGUCAUUGAAGUCCCAGAAUGAGAAGAGGCAGGAAAAACUUCAAAGAAUAAUGUCCUGAAAUAUUCUGAAUUUGACAGAAGCCAACAGAUCGAGGUUCAGUGAACCUGAAGCACAAGGAAACAUAAAGAAAACCACACCGAGGCACGUCCGAUUAAUAAUUACUUUAAAUGUAAAUGGCCUAAAGACUGCAAACAAAAGGCAGGUAUUAUCAGACUGGGUAAAAAAGCAAGACCCGAAAUAUGCCCUCCAUAAGAACCACGCUUUAAAUAUAAAGACACGGCUGGUUAAAAGUGCAAGAAUGAAAGAGAUAUACCAGCCAAGCACUCCAUAAUACACACAUGAAGCAGCUGUGUCAGUAUCAGACAGAGAAGACCGCAAAAGGACUAUUAGCGGGGUGAUAGGGAAACAUUUCAUAAUAUGCUGCAUUCAGGGGAGGACAGGACAUUCCUGAACAUGCACGCACUUAAAUAACAGGACUUCGAAACGCAUGAGGCAGAAACUGAUAGAAUUGCCAGGGGAAGUAGACCACCAUUUAUGCACAUCCUAUUUGGAAUGUAUUUAUAAAUAAUCCACCAUUAUAGUUAGAAAUGUUCACAUCCCUCUCUCAGUAGUUGAUAACUGUAGAUAAAAUCGGUAGGGACACAGAAGGUUUAGCAAUGCUGUAAACAAUGUUGACCUAAUUACCAUUUUUUAAAAGACUCCACCCAAAAGCAAGAGUUCUCAACGGUUCCUCUUUCUCUGUGGUUCCCUCCCUGGCUGAGGAACAGCAUUCUUACUCUCUCCUGAUUCCCGAGUAAAUCCGCAGGGGACAUGCUUGCUGUGUACAUGAGAACCUACCGUAUUCUGUGCUCCAAUGGAGUGUUUGUGGACCUCCCUGGACAAAAGGCUGACCCGGCGACCCUGUGCCUCCUGAAAGAAAGGGGGAAUCGCAGAGUGGCAGUCUCAGACCGUGCUGGAAAAGCACCCAGCUGAGACAGAUCCAUGCAUCACUCUGGGGCUUUGGGAUUUAGUAUCCUGGUUUAACUGGGGAUAUAGAACUGAUAAAAAUACCUUACCGAAAAGGUAAGCCAGGGCCAUGUGGAAAACCAGAUCCUUCGUCAAGGGCUCAGCUGGAGAAAAUCAAACACGUUAUUGAAAAAGAUCAGAAAACAAGCCAUCAUUUUUUCAAAGGGACACUCACUCUGUCAUAUUCCCAUACCUCCAGCAAGGAGGGAAGGUGACCUUGAGAUAGAGAGUUGGCCCCUGUAGGGCUUUGUACCAGAUCUGAGAGAGGUGAAUGAGUUUGUCGUUUCAUUAAGCUCCGUGGUCCCCCUGCAACUUUUCUGACUUUGAUUCUGUCGCCUACAGUUUUUCUCUACAUUCUGCUGUUUUUUUUUUUUUUUUCUUCUGUUCCUCUAGCUAAUGAGUUCCAAUUCCCAUUUGCUUUUACCUUUGAAGGAGUCCAGUGUUUAGAGCAAAGUGUUCCUCAGGAUUUGGGGGACUCCUACUGUUUUGUCUAGCCCGUUUAGGGAAAUCUGUCUCGCCGAGUGAUCUAUAAUUAUUCCGUAUGGGGAUGAUUUGCUGGUAGCUUCAGAAACUGAAGUGUAACGCAGAAGUGAUACUUUGGCUUCUCGCCAUUCCUCACCUGGCGGGGACAUACGGCCUCACUAGACAAACUGCAAUAUUGCCAAACUGGGGUCACAUAUUUAGGGAAUUUGUCGUGGAAGUCCACAAAGUGUUAGAAUGCCGGAGUUAGCCAAUUUCUCGGAUGAAAUAGCCACCAGCAACAACAACAACAACAACAAAGCAACAAUUUGGGGGACAAGUGACAUAUUUUCCACGGUGGAUUCCAGCUUUUUCAAGAGCGGGCAAAUCCUCUGAUAGACCAACCGACGGAUAAUACUCUAGACCCUUGUGUCGGAUCCCUAGAAUCCGCAGGAAGCUUUUGAACCAUUGAAAUUGGUCACGGUCUCUCCCCACGCUGUGAGGAUUCCAAAUUUUGAAAAAGCUUUCCACGUGAUUUACCAUGGAAACCAAGACACUGACUGCUGGCAGAAUUGAGCUCUGAAGCUGGCAUUUGACUCUAGACCGAUAGCAUUAUUUCUCAGUUCUUCUGGAUGCCUCCACGCUGUGGUGGUAGCAGCCACACUUACGCAAAGAGCUCAAGCCUUUCUUUGGAUCGUUUGACUUCUGUGUAUGUCCUGGACCGUCUUUUAAGUGCAGAAGCACUGCAGGUGCACGAUCAGACCAGUAAUGUGUCAUCAACAAAAUCAUCUGAGUCAAACAUCUGAGAGGAAUUUUAAAGGCACUAGACUCUUACCAAUGACGACCAAACAGGUGACCUUAUCCAAAAUGUAUCAGAGACGUGCUGUCUGUUGGCAGAAUUCUUUUCGGGCCACUGCCAAGGUGAGCACAGGAGACACUUGGUGGCAGUUCAAUUCCACAGAAUUGACACCUGUGGAAAGUAAGAGAUCUUUGUCUCGUUAUGUCUGCGGGAUUUGCAGGUGACCUGACGUCCGCUGUCAUUCGGGAGGCGUGCAAAUCAUGCUGGGAUCUGCCCUGUCCCCUCAGCCCUGCAGACAAGUGGAGUGGAUGAAUCCAACACUGCAAACUUCAUUUAGAAGUCUAUAGGUGAGGGGAUGCCUGGGUGGCUCAGUCGGUCGAGCGUUUGACUCUUGCUUUUGGCUCAGGUCAUGAUCUCAUGGUUGGUGGGAUUGAGCCCCGCAUCAGGCUCUGCUCUCUUUCUGCCCCUCCCCUGUUCGUGCUCUCCCACUCUCUCUCUCUCUCUCUCUCUAAAAAUAAAUAAACAUUAAAAAAAAAAAAAGAUGUCUAUAGGUGAAAAUGGCCUAUAGCACCCCCUCAGAAAGUAUGGUGUCUCUCCCUUUGAACUUAUGAACUUCAGUUUGAUAGGCUGAUGAAUUUGGGUCUGUGCCCAAUUUGGUGAAUCCUCUCAUAAUCAUGUUCAAUACUUAAAAGGGCUGUGAGACCUGAAAUCAUAAGGACCUGGAAGGGCCCAUUGGAGGACAUCGGAGGAGGCCUGCCAUCCUCUGCUGGGGGGAUUUCAUGUACAUAAAGGUGUUCCAGAGGAGGGGUGCCUAGGUGGCUUGGUCAGUUGAGUGGCCAACUCUUGGUUUUGGCUCAGGACAUGAUCCCAGGGGCGUGGGAUCGAGCCCCACAUCGGGCUCUGCGUGGAGCAUGGGGCCUGCUUAAGAUUCUUUCUCUCCCCUCUGCCCCUCUCCCCACUCACAUGCACACUCUCUCUAUAAUGUAAAUAAAUAAGCACAUAAAGAAGUAAGUAAGUAAGUAAAUAAAUAAAUAAAUGAAUGGCAUUCUAGAGGAAAGAUGCCUGUCACCACACUGGGAGGGACCCUUUUACAUGUUUUGAUAUGGUUAUCAAACUGAAAGAAAAAUCCAGUUGGAUUCAGGCUUCUGAUGUGAAGUCAGCAUCUCAGGAGGAAAGGACUGGGGCUCCCACAAGGACUUGAAACAAGUUUUCUAGAAUCACUGACAUUGAUACUGAGCUCAAUAGAAAAGAGCUUGCUUUUUUUUUUUUUUUAAGAAAAGAGCUUUUCUAGUAAAAUUAUUACCAUUAUCAUAAUAUUUGCUUAAUGAUUCAAUCGAGUAGCAUCUAAUCUAGCAGAUAGGAAGGAGCUCCACAGAGCUGUAUGAAACAGAAGACUUUUAUAAGCAGAAGGGAGCAGGAACAAGAAAGUUCUACCAGGCAGAAAAGCAAGUUGCUUAUUACAAGGUCACUUUCCUUUAGGAGAUUGCCAAGGGUCUAUCAGUAAGGUCUGAUUUCUAGAAGAGCCAAAACUCUAAGUUAAGUCUCAGUUUGUUGACAUGGGCUUAGCAUAAGCAAUUCCAUUUAGGGCCUGUUGUUUUUAACAAGUAAAACGAAAAGAUAUUUUUUCCUCCCUUAUGUAAUCAAAUAUUUGCUUUAAGUAAAUGAAGCAUAUCGUUGGUACACACAUUUAAAGACUCUUCUUCCUCAAGUCCAUAUUGUACUGAAUUUUCUAAUUUAUCCCAACGUGAUUCUGAUAAUUACUUUGCUUCCCAUUUCCCCACACAAUCGCUGAAUAUUUCAGUGGCUGCAAAAUGCCAAGAGAAACAGAAAUGGAGAUCGUUAGAAAUUAUGCUAUUACAAUACAAUAGUAACAAAAGGGUAAAUAAAAAUAAGGUUGAAUUUCCUUUCCAAAAGGAAUGAGAUCUUUUCUCCUCCUUUUUCUUAGAACAUUUCAGAGAGAAAACUUGUAUUUGUAAAGAAUUCCUGUGGUGCCUGGCUGACUCCGUUGGAAGAGUGUGUGAUUCUUGAUCUCAGGGUUGUGGGUUUGAGCCCCGUGUUGGGUGUAGAGAUCACUUAAAUAAAUAAGACUUUUUAAAAAAUAAUAAAAUAAAGAUAGAAAGAAUUCCUCUGUCCUUUUGAUACGCAUGCAAAUCUUAUUGGCGGUUAAAUAAGCCUCUUAUCAGAGUUAAAACCCAGGAAUAUUUUUCAGCAGGGCCUGGGAGCCAUCUCUUUUCAAUGUCAACAUCAAGGAAGACAAUGCCCCAUCGCCCUGUCACUGUGGGAAUCUAGCUGAGGCAUCUCACCUACCUGCUCGUCGUAGAGAUAGAGGCCAUUAACUCGCACAGAUGGCCACCCCAAUGACCAGGUGAACGCAGAGUGAGCUCUGAAAGCACGUAGAGUGAGCAGGACUGUUGAGUCUCCUCACCCGACAAGUGCUCAUACCUGGGAACAUGCAAACGGGUUGUAUCUGCUUGGCUUACAGGGAAGCAGGAUGGGGAGGGUGCCCGGCUGGCUCAGUCGGUAGAGCAUGUGACCCUCGAGUUGUAAGUUCAAGCCCCACAUCGUGGUUGUUUGUUGUUUUUUUUUAAUUAAAAAUAAAAUCUUUUUUUUUUUAAAUGGUGGGAUUUCUUUUCUGUCUUAAUAAUUUUAUUUUUUAAAUAGCAGGUCACCUGGGACACAGGCCAGGCUGAGCUCAUGCUUACUCAAAACCAGAACUAUUCCUUUUCGACAUUCGCAGGGAGGGUUUUCUGGGCUGGCAGGUUUUAUUUUUAGAAAUGAAAAUACAACAGUGUAAGGGUCUGUCUUCAGUGUUACUGUAGAGGAUAGUUUUACCCAAUAUUUCACCAGGCCAUAAAACGGAUCCAGGACCGUGUUUCCUUACUGCCCACCACCCAGCCAGGACUAUUUCAGGUCUUCACCCCAUUUCCGGGAGCAAAUUUCCAUGUUAGUGAGGGUAGGACAGGCUGUGGUGCAGUAAUAAGUAAACCCAUACAUCUCAUUCACUUCAUGCAAGUAGUGUUUCUUCCUUGCUCAGAGCAUGGUUUAUCGCAGAUCCGGGCAGGUAGGGGGAUCCCUGGGCCACGCGAUCGAGGGGCUGCUCUAACAACCGCAGGAUGGGAAGCAUACAAACAACAAAUAUCUCUUUCCCACAGUCCUGGAGGUAGGGAAAGUCAACAUCAGGAUGCCAGCAGAUCUGGUGUGGUGGCUGGUGAGAGCCCACUUCCUGGUUCCUGGACGGCUGUGUCCUCACAUGGGGGGUAGAGACCAGAGAUCUCUCCGGGACUCUUUUAUAAGGGCACUAAUCCCAUUCGCGAGGGCUCCACCCUCAUCAUCCAAUCACCUCCCAAAUGUCCCACCUCCUAAUACCAACGUAUGGUGGAUUAGGAUGGGUGGGGGGUGGGGUUCAGGCCACAGUAAGAAUUAAGAAUGCAGGGGCGCCUGGGUUGUGGUUCCACCAUCUCCAACAUGAGGACUGGCCUCAGAAACUGGAGCCGCAAGCCAAAUCACCAGAUCUCCAACCCUGAGAAUCACCUGAGAAUCUUCGAGUCAGUGACCUUCAACAGGUCACAGAGGAGAAACCGGCCAGACGUCAGCACCCUGCUGGGACCUUGACCACAGAGUCGUGUGGGCUCUUGUGAAUUCCAGAACUGACCUUGAAAGUCCAGGAAGCCCCCUAAUUGGGUUUGGGACCCAACAGCCUGGCCGAGGAGCCUGGAGAGACUUGUGCGGUGAGGGCUCACCUAAGCAAGGAACCUGGCAUCAGAAAACAUUGGGUUCAAGUCUUGGCUUACGUCUGACUAGUCAUGUGUCCGGGCUUCUGUAGAAAUGGACACUCCACAUGCGGCAUGAGAUGGUGUGGAGACUUAAGGAAGCUGCUGUUUGGGAGGAUGCUUUGAACUACAGGGCACAAGACAAAUGCUGUACAACUUAAUACGACUCAUCUUGCUUAUGCAGAGCAUUUCCACUUGCUUCCGUUCAAAGUAGGUCACGGCAACUCCUUGCAGCGCUAUUGGGUGGGAUUCUCGCUAGACGAAACCUUCCCUCAGGGUCUCCUCGGAGGCUUCCCCCAUCCAAGUUCUAAGCCUCCCAGCCCCAAAGUCUGGGAGGUUGUGUAGCUCACAGGUUCACCACAUGAUGAUGGCAGGGCCCCACAGACGCUUCUAGGAAGCUUUUCUGGGCACACACCGAAGUCUGGACCCUAUCCCCACCUCUGCCCCAGUCUCCAAAAGUUAGGAUCACCCUCGGCCCUCCGUCUUCUCCCCUCCUCUCCCCAACUCUGGCUUUGGGAUUUCUUGGCAUCAUUAUUUUGCCCCCAGCUUGCUAACUGAAGCUUCUACUGUGAAGCCACUUGUCCCACACCAAGUCCCUCCGUCUCAGUCCCCGCAACGCUGCUUCCCAGAGCUGAACCAGAGUGGGAGGAAAUCAACUAAGAAGAGCACCUGGAUUUCAGGACAGCUGACCUUAAAAACUCUGCGGCGCCUGGGUGGCUCAGUUGGUUAAGCGUUCGACUUCAGCUCAGGUCAUGAUCUCGCGGUUCGCGAGUUGGAGCCCCACAUCGGCGGGCUCUCUGUGGUGACAACUGGAGCCUGGAGCCUGCUUUGGAUUCUGUGUCUCCCUCUCUCUCUGCC